GCACAAAAAGUCAACAAACCUCAAAAUUUCCCCACUAAUGUAAUAUAGGGGUCAACCAAGGAUCAAUCCGUGGACUUGGUACUUAUCAAGUUUGAAAUUGUAGAAUUAUAGCUUAUUUAUUUACUUAUUUACUAAAACUAGGUGGGGAAAAAUCUAAAAUGAAGUCUAAAGAAAUAAACUAAACAAAUAAUGCAAUGCAUGCUUCCUAACUAAAAUGAAUGUAAGAUGCCUAAGAUAAAAUGAUGCAAAGGAAGAG
rnacentral:lncRNA from 1 species